GUGCACUGCGGGCCAGGAGCGGUGGGAGUAGGGGGGGUGCAAGCGUUAAUAGUAAUUACGGGGCGUAAAGCGGGGGCAGGCGGUUGUGUAAGACAGGUGUGAAAUCCCCGGGCUUAACCUGGGAAUUGCAUUUGUGACUGCACGACUAGAGUGUGUCAGAGGGGGGUGGAAUUCCACGUGUAGCAGUGAAAUGCGUAGAUAUGUGGAGGAACACCAAUGGCGAAGGCAGCCCCCUGGGAUAACACUGACGCUCAUGCACGAAAGCGUGGGGAGCAAACAGGAUUAGAUACCCCUGUAGUC
rnacentral:rRNA from 1 species